rnacentral:lncRNA from 1 species
CCCAAAUCCCUAAAUCUCAGACCCAGCAACGCGACUGUUCUUCUGCUUCUCUUCUCCACCCGAAACCAGCCUCAAAUUCCAUCCAAAUUCCAAGAGAAUGAACUUCAAUCCCUAACCUACGCGUUCAUCUAUCCCUCCUCCUACCCCAGAUAACCAAUUUUCUCACCAAAGAUUCUCUUUCCGUUCACUCGCUCGAUUUUGAGAGAAGUCACGCGAUUGGAAGGUCCCAGAGACGAUUCGUUGGAUGAAUGUGAGGCAUUGGAUUGAUUUCCUUCAAUACGAGCCCCACAUUCAUUAGGGGUUCGUCUCAUAAAAGGACUUGAUCUGAUUUUUGAAGGGGGAUUUUUCUGGAAGAAGAAAUUUUUAGCAGAGAACUGAGGGUAAAAAACAAUUGCCCUUCUGCUUCUUUUCUAUUAUUGAUCUUAGCUUAAUUCCAGAUAUAAAGAAAAGAUACAAAAAAAAUCUGUUUUGGGUUUUGGUUUUAAUCCGAGUCUCUUUGUUAUCUAUUUCUGGUAAUUCAAAGAAAAUUCAUUCCUUACAUGGUGAACCUGGUUUGAACUUGAAGUGUGAGUUCGUUGUUCUGAAUUCUAUGUUGAGUUAAUGGAAGUCGACUGAAAGCUGUUGGUUUCGAGUUGCUCCAAGUUGCUACGCUUAGCUACUGAUUCGCGAGUUCACUGCGAUCUCUGUUUGGACUUGUUUCUUCUGAGAAUCCUUGUAAUCCUUCAAUAGCAUUAAUCGAAAGUUUAUUUUUAGGUUCACUUCCAAACUCUCUGAUUUUGCUAUUUUUACGUGAGUUGAAAUGCUUGGUUGUCUGAAUCGAUUCCUAGAAACUUGAGAAGCAAAACAUCACUGAACGAUGGUUAGGAUGCUUGGUUGAACUUUGACUUAGUAUUCUGAGUUUCAUUAUCCGUUUGAAUGUUUUUUUAUGAAAAUGUGAAUGUCUGUGUGAACUCG